CCCGCGGACUAUUAGUUAGUUGGUAAGGUAACGGCUUACCAAGGCAGCGAUAGGUAGGGGUCCUGAGAGGGAGAUCCCCCACACUGGUACUGAGACACGGACCAGAACCCUACGGAAGACAGCAGUGAGGAUAUGGAACAAUGGGCGAGAGCUGAUCCAGCCAUGCCGCGUGCAGAAGACUGCCUAUGGUUGUAAACUGCUUUUAUACGGGAAGAAACACCCCCUCGUGAGGGGGCUUGACGGUACCGUAUGAAUAAGGAUCGGCUAACUCCGUGCCAGCAGCCGCGGUAAUACGGAGGAUCCAAGCGUUAUCCGGAAUCAUUGGGUUUAAAGGGUCCGUAGGCGGGACAAUAAGUCAGUGGUGAAAGUCUGCAGCUCAACUGUAGAACUGCCAUUGAUACUGUUGUCCUUGAGUAAUUAUGAAGUGGUUAGAAUAUGUAGUGUAGCGGUGAAAUGCAUAGAUAUUACAUAGAAUACCGAUUGCGAAGGCAGAUCACUAAUAAUUUACUGACGCUGAUGGACGAAAGCGUAGGUAGCGAACAGGAUUAGAUACCCUGGUAGUCUACGCCGUAAACGAUGGUUACUAGCUGUUUGGCUCGAUUGAGAGCUGAGUGGCUAAGCGAAAGUGAUAAGUAACCCACCUGGGGAGUACGUUCGCAAGAAUGAAACUCAAAGGAAUUGACGGGGGCCCGCACAAGCGGUGGAGCAUGUGGUUUAAUUCGAUGAUACGCGAGGAACCUUACCAGGGCUUAAAUGUAGUCUGACAGGGGUGGAAACACCCCCUCCUUCGGGCAGAUUACAAGGUGCUGCAUGGUUGUCGUCAGCUCGUGCCGUGAGGUGUCAGGUUAAGUCCUAUAACGAGCGCAACCCCUGUGGUUAGUUGCCAGCGAGUCAUGUCGGGAACUCUAACCAGACUGCCGGUGCAAACCGUGAGGAAGGUGGGGAUGACGUCAAAUCAUCACGGCCCUUACGUCCUGGCCACACACGUGCUAAAAUGGUAGGGACAGAGAGCAGCCACUGGGUGACCAGGAGCGAAUCUAUAAACCCUAUCACAGUUCGGAUCGGAGUCUGCACUCGACUCCGUGAAGCCGGAAUCGCUAGUAAUCGCAUAUCAGCAAUGAUGCGGUGAAUACGUUCCCGGGCCAUGUACAAACGCCCGUCAAGCCAUGGAAGCUGGGAGAACCUGAAGUCGGUCACCGCAAGGAGCCGCCUAGGGUAAAACUGGUAACUGGGGCUAAGUCGUAACAAGGUAACC
rnacentral:rRNA from 1 species